AUAGUGUACCAUUCUCUUGGUAGCAUUUGGCAACAUUUCCCCUUACCAAUAAUGGAGAAGUUCAAUGUAGCUAGAGUUUUAUUGUUCCUUCUCCAACUUGGAACUUUGUUCAUUGCCCAUGCAUGUCCUUAUUGCCCUUAUCCUCCUUCCACCCCAAAACACCCUAAAUUGCCUCCGAAACAUCCAUCUCCUAAGGUAAAACCACCUUCUACCCCCCACCACCCCAAACAAUCUCCUCAUGCAAAACCGCCUUCUACCCCUACCCACCCUAAAUAUCCCCCUCAUGUAAAACCACCUUCCAACCCCACUCAUCCUAAACAUCACCCUCAUGUAAAACCACCUUCUACCCCUACCUACCCUAAUCACCCCCCACAUGUAAAACCACCUUCCACCCCUAAACACCCUACGCCAAAACCAUGCCCUCCACCCCUACCUCCACAUGUCAAGCCACCUCAUGUAAAACCUCUAUAUGUCCCUAAACCACCAGUAGUACAUCCACCUCCCACUGUCAGUCCACCUAAUGUGCCUAAACCACCAUCACCAACACCACCUGUUGUUUUAC
rnacentral:lncRNA from 1 species